UCCCUGGUGGUCUAGUGGCUAAGACUCAGUGCUUCCAAUGUAGGGGCCCUAGGUUCAAUUCCUGGUCAAGGAA
rnacentral:tRNA from 1 species